CCUACGGGAGGCAGCAGUGGGGGAUAUUGCACAAUGGGGGGAACCCUGAUGCAGCGACGCCGCGUGAGCGAAGAAGUACCUCGGUAUGUAAAGCUCUAUCAGCAGGGAAGAAAAUGACGGUACCUGACUAAGAAGCCCCGGCUAAAUACGUGCCAGCAGCCGCGGUAAUACGUAGGGGGCAAGCGUUAUCCGGAUUUACUGGGUGUUAAGGGAGCGCAGGCGGGCUGUCAAGUCUGGCGUGAAAACCGGGGGCCCAACCCCGGGCGUGCAUUGGAAACUGGCGGGCUGGAGUGUCGGAGGGGCAGGCGGAAUUCCUAGUGUAGCGGUGAAAUGCGUAGAUAUUAGGAGGAACACCGGUGGCGAAGGCGGCCUGCUGGACGAAGACUGACGCUGAGGCUCGAAAGCGUGGGGAGCGAACAGGAUUAGAUACCCCAGUAGUC
rnacentral:rRNA from 1 species